CGUGGUCUGAUGUCUGGGGACGGAGACAGUCGGACAUUUUGUGACAAGAAAACUGACAGUGCGGCAUAAAUUGCGGAGUUGGGAACAUUUGCCAACAAUUGAGCUUUCGCAGGCUGUGUAAGGGCUAUUUGACCAAGAAGGAGAGUGAUGGAGUGCUGCGGCAGAUGACCUGGCCUCCACAGUCACCGGACCUGAACCCAAUGGAGAUGGUUUGGGGUGAGCUGGACCGCAGAGUGAAGGCAAAGGGGCCAACAAGUGCUAAACACCUCUGGGAACUCCUUCAAGACUGUUGGAAAACCAUUUCAGAUCCUUUGAGCUUGUUGAACACCACUCUGCAGAAAUUCUACCCCUGGAUCCAGAUGUGUUGACAGAUUAGCUACCCUCUCGCCGCAAACACAGUUGGUGGAAAGGUGAUGGUUACCACUGGGACAUUCCUUCUUCAUUAAAGAAUUUCAAAAUGACUUUGUUACAUCGGAUAGUUGUCUCCUCCAAAGAAGCUCGGCGAGUCCAGCUUCCUGAAGCACCAGAAUCUGUAGGCCAACUGAUUGAUGUACUUAAGGAGAGACUUGAACUUGAAGGUGAUUUCUCACUUCAAUUUGAGGAUCCAGAUUUUAGAAAUGCACUGUGCAACUUGACAGCAAUGUCUGAAUUACCAUCUGAGCGUGCAGUCCUGCAUAUUAUGUGGAACUGUGAUUCAUCUCCGCUUAAUCAAUCCAGUGACCAUUCCACUGGUUCAGUCUCCUCUCUGGAUACAGCCAGUGUUCACUCUGAUUAUUUCAGCUCCAGCUAUACAGAUUCUAUCCAGAGCAAUUUAAGGCGUGUCACUGAGUGACCCUCUCCAUUUCCUAUCCCCAAGUUCUCAUACUAUGUUGAGCUAAAAUUGCAUAAGGGCAAUGAGACAUACGAAAAGUCAAAGAAGGGACUUGACGUGACAAGAGACAUUAAAAUGGAAAUUUUGGAUAAAGUUGCACAGGCAAUUUUUGAGAUCAAAAGCUACCCUGAGAAAGGGGAACUUGAAUCAGUUGCCUCUUCGCUGAUUCUUAAGUAUCCUUGCCUAAAGGAGCCAGGUAGCAUCACAGGCUAUGAUGGAUGGAAAACAAGUAUCAAGUACAAGCUGGGAAACUACCGGUCAAAGCUGCAUCAGGCAGGCUGCAGUGAGGUAGAUGUAAAAAAGAAAAGAAAAGAAGGAGAUGUGGAUGAUGGUUCUUUCAUCCUCAAAAAGCCCAAACGUGGAGAGGUCAAUCAUGUCCCAGAUCAUCCGCAACAUCAUGAUGAUUCUACUCUUGAAGAGGAAAGAGUUGCUCUGGUCGACGAAAUGAAGAAGAAGAAAAAGAACAUGACACUGAUCCGGCACAAGAUGGAGCUGACAUUUUCCCUGAGGCGGAGAGAGGUAGUAGAAGGGCAGCCUAUGGUAUCAGAGG